AGUAAUGAAUAAUAGAUUUGAAAUAUUUAUUAUAUAGAUUUAAAGAAAUAAUCAUAGAAUACAUAAGUUAUUAAUAGUUAUUAGGUUACUAAUAAAUAAAUAAAUAAAUUUAUUUUAAUACCUAAGGUAAACCAUAAAAAAUUAUUUAAAUAAAUAAUUAUUAUAAAUAUACUAAGUGAACUGAAACAUCUAAGUAACUUAAGGAUAAAAAAUCAACCGAGAUAUUAUGAGUAUUGGUGAGAGAAAAUAAUAUAGUUAAUAAUCCAUAUCGCCUACACCCUUUAGGGUGUUGGAUAGGUAGGAUUAUAUAUAAGUAUUAUGUAAUAUAAUUAUGUAAGAAUAUAGGACAAACUAGUUCUAAAACUAAAUACUAUUAAUAAACAAAAUAAGUACCGAAAGGGAAAGUAUGUAAGUGGUUAUUUUAUAAGUAAUCAUAGAUAUAAAUUUUAUAUUAAUGAUGUACCUUUUGUAUAAUGGGUCAGCAAGUAAUUAAUAUUAGCAAAAUCAAUAAAAUUAUAAAAAAAUUGAUAAUAUUUCCUUUUUUAUAUUGGAUAAUUAAGUUAAUAUUAAUUGACCCGAAAGCAAAUGAUCUUACUAUGACCAGACGGUUAAACGGUCGAACAGGUUGAUGUUGCAAUAUCAUCUGAUGAGUUGUGGUAAGUAGUGAAAGACAAAUCUGAUUUGCAGAUAGCUGGUUUUCUACGAAAUAUAUGUUAGUAUAGCUUUUAUAAUAAUAAUUAUUAUAAUCCAACGGAUUAUAAAGAACGGUACAGCAACAAAUAUAUUUAGGGGAACUAUUGUAGUUUUAUCAAAAAUAUUUGAUCUCGAAAUGUUUAAUUAUGAUUAUAAGAAGUCAGAUUAUGUGCGAUAAGGUAAAUAAUCUAAAGGGAAACAGCCCAGAUUAAUAUAUAAGGUUCCUAAUUACAUGAAAUAAUAAGUGAAAUAAAUAUUAAAAUAUUAUAAUACAAUCAGUUAAUGGAUUUGACAAUAACCAUUUUUUAAUGAACAUGUAACAAUGCACUGAUCUAUAUAUAAUCUUUUUAAUAAGAUUAUUAUUAUAUAAUAUUAUAAAUUUUUCUUUAUAAAAAAAGAAAAUUAAUAAACAAUAUACGGAUCUUUUACAAAUAAAAAUUAUUUAACCGAAUAUUUAAAUAUUAUUAUUAAUUUAAAUAAUAAUAAUAUGGUAGUAGAACAUUUAAUGAAAAAAUAUAUUAAUUCUUAAUUAAUAUAUAAUAAAAUAUAUAAAUAUAUUUUUAAUAAUUUUGUAUUUUUGUAUAAAAUACAAAAUGAUGAAAUAGUAAUUAAAUAGAGAAUGCUGACAUGAGUAACGAAAAAAAGGUUAAACCUUUUCACCUAAAACAUAAGGUUUUACUAUAAAAGUACGGCCCUUAAUUAAAUUAUAUAAAUAUAAUCUAAGAUAGGAUAAUUCUAAAUUAAAUAUUACAUCUUUUAUUUAUCAAAAAAUUAUAAAAGAUCAAGAAAUACUUUUAAUUUAUACCGUAAUGUAUACCGACUCAGGUAUGUUAGUAGAGAAUAUUAAGGUGAAUUAGAUAAUUAAAGGGAAGGAACUCGGCAAAAAUAGCUCUAACGUUAGUCAAUAAAGAGAUAAUUAAAAACAAGGUUGUACAACUGUUUAAUAAAAACACCGCACUUUGCAUAAACGAUAAGUUAACGUAUAAGGUGUGAACUCUGCUCCAUGCUUAACAUAUAAAUAAUAUUAUUUAAUGAUAAUAUUAUUAAAUUUAAGUAAAUAGCAGCCUUAUUAUGAGGGUUCUAAGGUAGCGAAAUUCAUUGUCCAAUAAUUAUGGUCCUGCAUGAAUGACGUAAUGAUACAACAACUGUCUCCCCUUUAAGCUAAGUGAAAUUAAAAUCGCAGUGAAGAUGCUGUGUACCUAUAGUGUGACGGAAAGACCCUAUGCAGCUUUACUGUAAUUAGAUAGAUCGAAUUAUUGUAUAUUAUAUUCAGAAUAUUAAGUAAUUGAUUAAAUUUAAAUGAGAUACUUAUUAUAAUAAUAUAAUAAUUCUAAUCUUAAUAAAACCUUUUAUAAGGUUAUUUAAUAGAUAUUAUUCUUAAAUAAAAUAUUAUAUAUUAUGUAUAUAUUAUAUAUAUAUAUAAUUAAUAUAUAAUAUAAUAAUAAGAGACAAUCUCUAAUUGGUAGUUUUGAUGGGGCGUCAUUUUCAGCAAUAAUAUCUGAAUAAGUCUAUAUAUAAAUUAUAAUAUUAUUUAAAAAAUAAAAAUAUAUAUUAUAUAUAUUAAUUAUAAAUAGGAAUAUAUUUCUUUAAAGAAAAUUUUAUUUUUUUUUAAAGUUAUAUAUUUUAGUAAUAGAAAAAAUCAUGUAUAGUAAAAUUGUCUAGAAAACAAUAAUAAUAAUAUUAUUUCUAUUUAGUAGAAAUUUAUAUUAUAUAAUAAAAUGUAUUAAAUUAAUAUAAUGGUAUAACUAUGCAACAAUUAUAACACAAACAAGUGAAAUAAGUACGUAAGUAUGGCAUAAUGAACAAAUAACACUGAUUGUAAUGGUUAUUGAUAACGAAUAAAAGUUACGCUAGGGAUAAAUUACCCACUUGUCCCAUUAUAUUGAAAAAUAUAAUUAUUCAAUUAAUUAAUUAAUUAAUUGAAGUAAAUUGGGUGAAUUGCUUAGAUCUCCAUAUAAAUUAUAUGGACAAUAAGCAGCGAAGCUUAUAACAACUUUUAUAUAUGUAUAUAUACGGUUAUAAGAACGUUCAACGACUAGAUGAUGAGUGGAGUUAACAAUAAUUCAUCCACGAGCGCCCAAUGUCGAAUAAAUCAAAUAUAAAUAAAUAUCAAAAGAUAUAUAAAGAUUUUUAAUAAAUCAAAAAAUAAAUAAUAAUGAAAAAUAUUAAUAAAAAUCAAGUAAUAAAUUUAGGACCUUCCGUAGGAGGGUCCCCGCGGUGCGAGGACCUAAUUCUAAAUUAUUAAAAGAAUAUAAAUCACAAUUAAUUGAAUUAAAUACUGAACAAUUUGAAGCAGGUAUUGGUUUAAUUUUAGGAGAUGCUUAUAUUCGUAGUCGUGAUGAAGGUAAACUAUAUUGUAUGCAAUUUGAGUGAAAAAAUAAAGCUUAUAUUGAUCAUGUAUGUUUAUUAUAUGAUGAAUGAAUUUUAUCAUCUCCUCAUAAAAAAGAGAGAGUUAAUCAUUUAGGUAAUCUUGUAAUUACAUGAGGAGCUCAAACUUUUAAACAUCAAGCUUUUAAUAAAUUAGCUAACUUAUUUAUUGUGAAUAAUAAAAAACUAAUUUCUAAUAAUUUAGUUGAAAAUUAUUUAACACCUAGAAGUUUAGCUUAUUGAUUUAUAGAUGAUGGAGGUAAAUGAGAUUAUAAUAAAAAUUCUCUUAAUAAGAGUAUUGUAUUAAAUACACAAAGUUUUACUUUUGAAGAAGUAGAAUCUUUAGUAAAAGGUUUAAGAGAUAAAUAUCAAUUAAAUUGCUAUGUAAAAAUCAAUAAAAAUAAACCAAUUAUUUAUAUUGAUUCUCUAAGUUAUUUAAUUUUUUAUAAUUUAAUUAAACCUUAUUUAAUUCCUCAAAUGAUAUACAAAUUACCAACUUAACUUUUUAAAUUAAAAAUAAUAUUCUUUUUUCAUUUAUUUUUCAUAAAUAUUUGUUUAUAUUAAAUUUAUUUGAUAAUGAUAUAGUCUAAACAAUUUGGUAACAAAUUGAUAAAUAAAUAUGUAAUAAUAUUUAUAUAAUAAUAAUAAAUUGAACAGGGUAAUAUAGCGAAAGAGUAGAUAUUGUAAGCUAUGUUUGCCACCUCGAUGUCGACUCUACCUAUCCUCUUGGUUGUAAAUGCUAAGAAGGGUUUGACUGUUCGUCAAUUAAAAGGUAACGUGAGUUGGGUUAAAUACGAUGUAAAUCAGUAUGGUUCCUAUCUACUAUAGGUAAUAUUAUCAACUUAAGUCUUAUUCUUAGUACGCAAGGAUCAGAAUGAAUUAAUCCAUGGUGUAUCUAUUGAUUAUUUUAUAAUAUAUAUAUAUAUUUAUAUAUAUAUAUAUAUUAUCUAUAUUAAUUUAUAUUUAAUAUUAUAGUCACAGUAGAUAAGCUAAAUUAAUAAAUAAUAAGUAUUGAAAGCAUAUAAAAUACGAAGUUGUCUUAAGAUGAGAUAAUAAUCUGAUUAUUUUAGACUAAAAUAAUAUAAGUAUCUAAUCCUAUUUAUCUUUCAGAUAAGUAGGAAAUUCAGAUCAAUAAAAUAGGUUUUUUAUAUAUAUA
rnacentral:rRNA from 1 species